rnacentral:misc_RNA from 1 species
UUUCCGUAGGUGAACCUGCGGAAGGAUCAUUAAUAAAUGGUCUACGUUUUUUAAGUAGACGCUUAAUAAUCCUACCCUUUGUGAAUUUGUUUGUUUGAAAUAAUUUUUUUUAAAAUUAUUGAAUGUCUUUCCCUGUUGAAUUGGUUGUCUUUAAUGGCAAGUGAUUCGCAGGGGAGUGUCAAUAAUUUUUAAAAAGACCUUUUUUAAAAUUAAACUUUUUGUAUUCAUUUGUCUAAAAAUUAUUUUUAUAAUAUAAAAACAACUUUUGACAAUGGAUCUCUUGGUUCUCGCAACGAUGAAGAACGCAGCAAAAUGCGAUAAGUAGUGUGAAUUGCAGAAUACGUGAAUCAUCGAAUCUUCGAACGCAUAUUGCACUUUUUUAGUUUACUAAAAAAGUAUGUCUGUUUGAGUAUCAGUAAAAUAUUCUCAUAAAAACUUUUUGUUUUUAUGGUUAUGAGUGUUUUACAACGAUACAAGUUGUUUCACUUUAAAUUUUUUUAAAAUUUGAAUUUUUCUAAUUUUAAAAUAAAAUUGGAUAAAAUUUUCCCGUAAAAAGGAAUAACCUAAACAAUUUUAAUUUUUGAUUAGAAAAUCCAAACUAAAAGGAAAAUUUAACUAAAUAACUUGAUCUCAAAUCAGAUAAGAGUACCCGCUGAACUUAAGCAUAUCAAUAAGCGGAGGAAAAGAAACUAACAAGGAUUCCCUUAGUAACGGCGAGUGAAGCGGGAAGAGCUCAAAUUUGAAAUCUUCAAGGUUUUACCUUGACGAAUUGUAGUUUAAAGAAGUGUUUUCUGUUGAAGUUUUGGUAAAAGUUCUUUGGAAUAGGACAUCAUAGAGGGUGAGAAUCCCGUAUUUGACCAUUAUUUUCAGCUGUGUGAUACACUUUCAAAGGGUCGGAUUGUUUGGGAAUGCAGUCCAAAAUGGGUGGUAAAUUUCAUCUAAAGCUAAAUAUUGGCGAGAGACCGAUAGCGAACAAGUACCGUGAGGGAAAGAUGAAAAGAACUUUGAAAAGAGAGUUAAACAGUACGUGAAAUUGUCAAAAGGGAAGCGUUUGACACCAGUGUUGUUUCUCAAAAAUCAAUUAAAAAGAGUUGGAUUUUGUGUUGUAUUGACCUUAACAGCUUGCUUCACUCUUUCCAGCUUUUUUUAAUGCACUUUUCGUUUAACAAGUCAACAUCAGUUUCUUUUGUUGUAAAAGGGUCAUUGGAAGGUGGCUUUCUCUUCGGAGAAAGUGUUUAUAGCCUUUGAUCUCUGCAAUCGGAGAGACUGAGGUCUGCAGCGUAGAUCCUUCGGGUUAGAUACAUUUAUGCUAAGCUACAGCUUUUCAUAGACAACUUGUUGACUAUGUUUAGUCUUGUGACUUACCCGCUUAUGCUAUUUUACCUACGCUUAGGAUGUUG